rnacentral:rRNA from 1 species
GAUGAACGCUAGCGGCAGGCCUAACACAUGCAAGUCGAGGGAGAGGUUACCUUCGGGUAAUCAAAACCGGCGCACGGGUGCGUAACGCGUAUACAAUCUGCCUUUCACAUAGGGAUAGCCCGAAGAAAUUUGGAUUAAUACCUAAUGGUAUAUAAGAGCGGCAUCGUUUUUAUAUUAAAGCUACGGUGGUGAAAGAUGAGUAUGCGUUCUAUUAGCUAGUUGGAGAGGUAACGGCUCCCCAAGGCGACGAUAGAUAGGGGUUCUGAGAGGGAUGUCCCCCACACUGGUACUGAGAUACGGACCAGACUCCUACGGGAGGCAGCAGUGAGGAAUAUUGGACAAUGGUCGGAAGACUGAUCCAGCCAUGCCGCGUGCAGGAUGAAGGUCCUAUGGAUUGUAAACUGCUUUUGUAAGGGAAGAAUAAGGGGUACGUGUACUUUGAUGACGGUACCUUACGAAUAAGCAUCGGCUAACUCCGUGCCAGCAGCCGCGGUAAUACGGAGGAUGCGAGCGUUAUCCGGAAUCAUUGGGUUUAAAGGGUCCGUAGGCGGGCUGAUAAGUCAGAGGUGAAAGCGCUUAGCUCAACUAAGCAACUGCCUUUGAAACUGUCAGUCUUGAAUGAUUGUGAAGUAGUUGGAAUGUGUAGUGUAGCGGUGAAAUGCUUAGAUAUUACACAGAACACCGACAGCGAAGGCAUAUUACUAACAAUUUAUUGACGCUGAUGGACGAAAGCGUGGGGAGCGAACAGG